GAUGAACGCUAGCGGCAGGCUUAAUACAUGCAAGUCGUGGGGCAGCAUGAGUAGCAAUACUUGAUGGCGACCGGCAAACGGGUGCGGAACACGUACACAACCUUCCGAUAAGUGGGGAAUAGCCCAGAGAAAUUUGGAUUAAUACCCCGUAACAUAUAGAGUAGGCAUCUUCUUUAUAUUAUAGCUUCGGCGCUUAUUGAUGGGUGUGCGUCUGAUUAGGUAGUUGGCGGGGUAACGGCCCACCAAGCCUACGAUCAGUAGCGGAUGUGAGGACAGCAUCAGCCAACCGGGACCUGAGACACGGGCCCGAGUCCUACGGGAGGCAGCAGUAAGGAAUAUUGGACAAUGGGCGAAAGCCUGAUCCAGCCAUGCCGCAUGAAGGAUUAAGGUCCUCAGGAUUGUAAACUUCUUUUAUUUGGGACGAAAAAAGGGAAUUCUUUCCACUUGACGGUACCAAGUGAAUAAGCACCGGCUAACUCCGUGCCAGCAGCCGCCGUAA
rnacentral:rRNA from 1 species